AACGAACGCUGGCGGCAUGCCUAGCACAUGCAAGUCGAACGAGACCUUCGGGUCUAGUGGCGCACGGGUGCGUAACGCGUGGGAACCUUCCCUUAGGUUCGGAAUACCUCCCCGAAAGGGGUGCUAAUACCGGAUAAUGUCUUCGGACCAAAGAUUUAUCGCCUUUGGAUGGGCCCGCGUUGGAUUAGCUAGUUGGUAGGGUAAAAGCCUACCAAGGCGACGAUCCAUAGCUGGUCUGAGAGGAUGAUCAGCCACACUGGGACUGAGACACGGCCCAGACUCCUACGGGAGGCAGCAGUGGGGAAUAUUGGACGAUGGGCGAAAGCCUGAUCCAGCAAUGCCGCGUGAGUGAUGAAGGCCUUAGGGUUGUAAAGCUCUUUUAACCGGGAUGAUAAUGACAGUACCGGGAGAAUAAGCUCCGGCUAACUCCGUG
rnacentral:rRNA from 1 species